rnacentral:sRNA from 1 species
CCCAAGGUGUGUGGGUUCGAAACCCGCAGGGGACAACAUUACAUCCGGAGCCAACUUCUCAGCUCCUAAAAUAAAGGGAUGUGAACUUGCCAAGUAGGUACCUUCGGGCGGACCUACUACCUGAUUUAGCUUAUUGUUUCUGGGCUGGAAACCUGUAUUGCAUGUACCAAAUCCUGUCUUUCAUUAAUUUUCCUAUGUUUCUGUUAUGUCUUGGCAUCAUUCAACACUAGCAUUCCUCCUGUAUAACCAACUCUUGCCUGUAUUUAACAUCACACAAGGACUCAUCAUAAGCACUACUUGCAUACGAGU